rnacentral:lncRNA from 1 species
CUUUUCGAGGUAGGAGUCGACUCCUGUGAGGUAUGGUGCUGGGUGCAGAUGCAGUGUGGCUCUGGAUAGCACCUUAUGGACAGUUGUGUCCCCAAGGAAGGAUGAGAAUAGCUACUGAAGUCCUAAAGAGCAAGCCUAACUCAAGCCAUUGGCACACAGGCAUUAGACAGAAAGCUGGAAGUUGAAAUGGUGGAGUCCAACUUGCCUGGACCAGCUUAAUGGUUCUGCUCCUGGUAACGUUUUUAUCCAUGGAUGACUUGCUUGGGUAAGGACAUGAAGACAGUUCCUGUCAUACCUUUUAAAGGUACAUGUUUUAUUGAUGUUAACGUUAAUUGAUUGAGCUACUGUUAGUGAUGAUUUUAAAAUUAAAGCAGAUGGGAAUCUCUCUGAGAAAGAAAAUGGAGAUUAAUCUUAAACUGAAACAGUAGUUGGGAAAUCUUUUAGAAAUCCACCUAUUACUACCUAUUGGUAAAGGAGAUUAAAUUUCUACAGGUAUGGAGAGUCGGCUUGACUACACUGUGUGGAGCAAGUUUUAAAGAAGCAAAGGACUCAGAAUUCAUGAUUGAAGAAAUGCAGGUUAGUUUAAACUUUGAAGGAAAUUUUUAAGGUGGCAAAAGGUUUUGGUGGCAUAUACACCUUAAUCUGUAGAUGGGAGUGAUUAGCUGUUUAAAAGUUAAAAUGUGACUGAGAAGGAAAUUGAGUAGGGCAAAUUUUAAAUGGGUAUUAUUUUUCAUCUUCAAACAGGCAGACCUGUUAUCCUAAACUAGGUGAGUCAGCUUUUGGUACAUGUGAUGAUUUUCAGUGUAACCAAUGAUGUAAUGAUUCUGCCAAAUGAAAUAUAAUGAUAUCACUGUAAAACCGUUCCAUUUUGAUUCUGAGGUUACUCUACUAACAAGCAUCACACAUUUGUAUUUUGCCCUGAUUAAUAUGUUGGCUUCGCUUUCAGGGUUUUUAAUGACCACAACAAGCAAGCAUGCAGCUUACUGCUUGAAAGGGUCUUGCCUCACCCAAGCUAGAGUGCAGUGGCCUUUGAAGCUUACUACAGCCUCAAACUUCUGGGCUCAAGUGAUCCUCAGCCUCCCAGUGGUCUUUGUAGACUGCCUGAUGGAGUCUCAUGGCACAAGAAGAUUAAAACAGUGUCUCCAAUUUUAAUAAAUUUUUGCAAUCCA